rnacentral:rRNA from 1 species
GGGGAAUUUUGGACAAUGGGCGCAAGCCUGAUCCAGCAAUGCCGCGUGCAGGAUGAAGGCCUUCGGGUUGUAAACUGCUUUUGUACGGAACGAAAAGCCUCUCUCUAAUACAGGGGGGUGAUGACGGUACCGUAAGAAUAAGCACCGGCUAACUACGUGCCAGCAGCCGCGGUAAUACGUAGGGUGCAAGCGUUAAUCGGAAUUACUGGGCGUAAAGCGUGCGCAGGCGGUUUUGUAAGACAGUGGUGAAAUCCCCGGGCUAACCUGGGGCAAUGCCAUGUGGACGGAAGGGCGGGGGUGGGGGAGAGGGGGAGGGAAUUCCGCGUGUAGGAGGAAAAUGCGUUGAUAUGCGGAGGAACACCGAUGGCAAAGGCAAUCCCCUGGGCCUGCACGGACGCUCAUGCACGAAGGCGUGGGGAGCAAACA